CCUACGGGAGGCUGCAGUGAGGAAUAUUGGUCAAUGGGCGCGAGCCUGAACCAGCCAAGUCGCGUGAGGGAAGACGGUCCUAUGGAUUGUAAACCUCUUUUGUCGGGGAGCAAAGAGAGUCACGUGUGACUCAUUGAGAGUACCCGAAGAACAAGCAUCGGCUAACUCCGUGCCAGCAGCCGCGGUAAUACGGAGGAUGCGAGCGUUAUCCGGAUUUAUUGGGUUUAAAGGGAGCGUAGGUGGAUUGUUAAGUCAGUUGUGAAAGUUUGCGGCUCAACCGUAAAAUUGCAGUUGAAACUGGCAGUCUUGAGUACAGUAGAGGUGGGCGGAAUGCGUGGUGUAGCGGUGAAAUGCAUAGAUAUCACGAAGAACCCCGAUUGCGAAGGCAGCUUACUAAACUGUGACUGACAUUGAUGCUCGAAAGUGUGGGUAUCAAACAGGAUUAGAUACCCCUGUAGUC
rnacentral:rRNA from 1 species